rnacentral:rRNA from 1 species
UACGUAGGUGGCAAGCGUUACUCGGAAUCACUAGGCGUAAAGCGCGGGUAGGCGGUUGGGUAAGUCUCUUGUGAAAGCUCCUGGCUCAACUGGGAGAGGUCAAGGGAAACUACCUGGCUAGAGUGUGGUAGAGGAAGCUGGAAUUCCUGGUGUAGCGGUGAAAUGCGUAGAUAUCAGGAGGAACACCUGUGGCGAAAGCGGCUCACUGGACCACAACUGACGCUGAUGCACGAAAGCUAGGGGAGCAAACAGG